rnacentral:lncRNA from 1 species
AUGAAGCAAGCCACUCUAUUUUUGUUAGGUGUAUUGGCCACCGUGCACACUGUCAUGAGCCACUGUGGUGCCCGUAAUUGCGGCGCCGGAUGCGGCUGCGGGGCCGGCUGGGGAUCAUACGGAGGAGGCUACGGGUCCGGAUGCGGCGUUGGGUUCGGGCGCUACGGCGGAGUGGUAGGAGGAUUUGGCAACGGACUUGGUGGCAUCGGCGGUGGUUUUGGCAGGGGAUACGGUGGUUUCGGAGGAGCUGGCGGUUUCGGAGGAGCUGGCGGUUUCGGAGGUACCGGUGGCUUCGGAGGAUUCGGAGGUGGCGCUGGAGCCGGUUCGGCCGCCGCAGCCGCUGCCGCUGCCGGAACAAUCGUACAACCGGUUUGCUGGACCAGGCAGAAUCAUCGUCCAGGAGGCACCGACCGUUGUUCCAGAAUACGUGGACAGUGCACCCAUCGUCUUAGAGCAGGAGGCUGCUCCCAGGUUCGUCUUCGGUGACUCUACCCCGGUCCGGCUAUCCCACCAGUCCAGACCGGCAGUGAUCGAGCACUUCGAGACCCCGUACAUCAUCGAUGCCGUUCAACGCACGGCCUUCAUCAACCACGCUUCUCAGCCUGUCAUCAUCGACCACUACGAACAGCCCGAGGUCAUCUCUGACGAGGGAAUCCCGGUCAUUUACGAGCCUGCCUUUGGGGGUUCUGGCUCUUCCUGCGGGUGUGGAGCAACUGGUUGUGAUGGUGGUUGUGCCAUAUCUGACUGUGCUUGCAUCUAAUCACAUUCAGAAAUGACUGUCUUUUUAAGGACUGUAAUGUGAAAAGUACAUCAAAUAAAUUCUAAUUGACAUUGACUUAUUAAACUGUUGAUUUACUUUUUGCCUUUUUUUUUUUUAUUUCGGCCUACAAUAUUAAAUGUAGAUUGAUUUAAAACACGUAUGCUCCGGCAUGUGUAGGAUCUAUAUCCAUUCAAGUCGCCUUUGAAAAAUUAUAAGAAUGAUGAUGCAAAAUUCAGCCUCCUUAAGCAUUUGGUGAGUCCUGGCUUCGGCUUAUAGCUCUCGUAAGUGUUAUUUAUCACCUUUUGUUGUAUAUUUUUCGGAGUGUCAUCGUGAUUUAUAAAGUUACAUUGCUGUCUGAAUAAAGCUGUAUUUAAGUCGCUUGAAGAAUCGGUGCCCAAUAGAAUCUAUACAGGGUGUCCCAAAAGUCCGUAACCCCCCCCCCCUCGAAACUUUUGAACGGUUAGAGAUAGAAUAACGAAACUUUGGGAAUUUCUCUAUCUUAAAGGGGACCAUCUUUUAAGGAGAUCAAAAUCUUUGUCCCCCCUCAGGGGGGCGCGGGGGCCCCCGACUUUUUUUUUCAAAUGGCAACCUCUAUCUUGUGAUACAUCAUUAGAAACAGCAUUGAAAACUAAGAAUUUUGGCGCAAACCGCAGUGCAAUAUCUUAAUUUUUGACCGAGCUAUGAUAGGUCAAAGGUCAAAUUUUACCCAUUUUCAACAAAUCAUAACUCCGGUUCAAAUUAUCGUAAAGAAAAAAAUAAAACUGGAAAAUUUACCAAAUUGUAAGCACUUUUAAGUUAAAAUCACAUAAAUCACUUCAAACUAAUUUUAAGGGGGGUUUUGGACCCCCAAAUACGUCAUUUUAAAGGUCAUAUGAUUUCCCGUGAAAUGAGCCAAUUUCUUCUUACUUUGCCUCAAUAUUCUCUUGGUAAGUUCAAAAUUAGUUCAACAUUGCGUUUUCA